rnacentral:rRNA from 1 species
CAACUUUCAACAACGGAUCUCUUGGUUCUCGCAUCGAUGAAGAACGUAGCAAAUUGCGAUAAUUAAUGUGAAUUGCAUAUUCAGUGAAUCAUCGAGUCUUUGAACGCAUCUUGCACUCAUUGGUAUUCCAAUGAGUACGCCUGUUUCAGUAUCAAAAAC